rnacentral:rRNA from 1 species
CCCUUAGAUGUUCUGGGCCGCACGCGCGCUACACUGAACAGUUCAACAAGUCUUAACCUUGGCCGAUAGGUCUGGGUAAUCUUUGAACGCUGUUCGUGAUUGGGAUAGACCUUUGCAAUUAUGGGUCUUCAACGAGGAAUUCCUAGUAAACGCAAGUCAUCAGCUUGCAUUGAUUACGUCCCUGCCCUUUGUACACACCGCCCGUCGCACCUACCGAUUGAAUGGUCCGGUGAAAUCUCGGGACGGCGGCUUGGUCGCUUGCGUCCGACUGCUGAAACUUGAUUAAACCAUAUCAUUCAGAGGAAGGUGAAGUCGUAACA